rnacentral:rRNA from 1 species
UACAGAGGUCUCAAGCGUUGUUCGGAUUCAUUGGGCGUAAAGGGUGCGUAGGUGGCGCGGUAAGUCGGGUGUGAAAUUUCGGAGCUUAACUCCGAAACUGCAUUCGAUACUGCCGUGCUUGAGGACUGGAGAGGAGACUGGAAUUUACGGUGUAGCAGUGAAAUGCGUAGAUAUCGUAAGGAAGACCGGUGGCGAAGGCGGAUCUCUGGACAGUUACUGACACUGAGGCACGAAGGCCAGGGGAGCAAACGGG